rnacentral:rRNA from 1 species
CAGCAGCCGCCGCGGUAAUACGUAGGUGGCAAGCGUUGUCCGGAAUUAUUGGGCGUAAAGGGCUCGCAGGCGGUUUCUUAAGUCUGAUGUGAAAGCCCCCGGCUCAACCGGGGAGGGUCAUUGGAAACUGGGAAACUUGAGUGCAGAAGAGGAGGGCGGAAUUCCACGUGUAGCGGUGAAAUGCGUAGAGAUGUGGAGGAACACCAGUGGCGAAGGCGACUCUCUGGUCUGUAACUGACGCUGAGGAGCGAAAGCGUGGGGAGCGAACAGGAUUAGAUACCCCAGUAGUCCCUGUCUCUUAUAC